rnacentral:lncRNA from 1 species
UGUAUUUGUUCACUAACCCGGAUUUUGAUAGCGCAUUACGGCUCGCGGCCCAGGUACGCACUCCCUAUGCUCAUUCUGAUUUUCAUAUGUGCAAGAUUGAUUCGAGUAUUCAUUGAUUUUCUUAUUGACUGCCACGUCAGCUUCAUCUUAUUAGUAGAGACCCGACUUUAGGGACUUAGAGGGGUGCUACGGUCUUUACCGUACCUUCCCGAUAAGUAACCUGACCCCCGAACCCGAUCCGGUUUUUCGUAGAUCACCUUUUCCAAAAUAAGGAGCCAC